ACAGGGUGGUUAUUGCCCAGGCGCU
rnacentral:misc_RNA from 1 species